GCGAGUGGCGAACGGGUGAGUAAUAUAUCGGAACGUGCCCUGGAGUGGGGGAUAACGCAGCGAAAGUUGCGCUAAUACCGCAUACGAUCUACGGAUGAAAGUGGGGGAUCCGCAAGGACCUCAUGCUCGUGGAGCGGCCGAUAUCUGAUUAGCUAGUUGGUGGGGUAAAGGCCUACCAAGGCAUCGAUCAGUAGCUGGUCUGAGAGGACGACCAGCCACACUGGGACUGAGACACGGCCCAGACUCCUACGGGAGGCAGCAGUGGGGAAUUUUGGACAAUGGGCGAAAGCCUGAUCCAGCAAUGCCGCGUGAGUGAAGAAGGCCUUCGGGUUGUAAAGCUCUUUUGUCAGGGAAGAAACGGUGUGGGCUAAUAUCCUGCACUAAUGACGGUACCUGAAGAAUAAGCACCGGCUAACUACGUGCCAGCAGCCGCGGUAAUACGUAGGGUGCAAGCGUUAAUCGGAAUUACUGGGCGUAAAGCGUGCGCAGG
rnacentral:rRNA from 1 species